AUCACUUCUCGGCCUUUUGGCGAAGAUCAGUGUAGUAUCUGUUCUUAUCAGUUUAAUAGCUGAUAUGUCCUCUAUUUGAGGACUAUAUAUUAAAUUGAUUUUUGGAGCUAGUUUUUAAUAGCUGAUUUUUUAUCUUUUGUUGGAAGCCGCCCAGAGUGGCUGGGGAAACUCAGCCAGAUGGGCAGGGUAC